GACGAACGCUGGCGGCGUGCUUAACACAUGCAAGUCGAACGGAAAGGCCCUGCUUUUGUGGGGUGCUCGAGUGGCGAACGGGUGAGUAACACGUGAGUAACCUGCCCUUGACUUUGGGAUAACUUCAGGAAACUGGGGCUAAUACCGGAUAGGAGCUCCUGCUGCAUGGUGGGGGUUGGAAAGUUUCGGCGGUUGGGGAUGGACUCGCGGCUUAUCAGCUUGUUGGUGGGGUAGUGGCUUACCAAGGCUUUGACGGGUAGCCGGCCUGAGAGGGUGACCGGCCACAUUGGGACUGAGAUACGGCCCAGACUCCUACGGGAGGCAGCAGUGGGGAAUAUUGCACAAUGGGCGGAAGCCUGAUGCAGCAACGCCGCGUGCGGGAUGACGGCCUUCGGGUUGCAAACCGCUUUCGCCUGUGACGAAGCGUGAGUGACGGUAAUGGGUAAAGAAGCACCAGCUAACUACGUG
rnacentral:rRNA from 1 species